rnacentral:rRNA from 1 species
AUUGAACGCUGGCGGCAGGCCUAACACAUGCAAGUCGAACGAGUGGCGGACGGGUGAGUAAUGUCUGGGAAACUGCCUGAUGGAGGGGGAUAACUACUGGAAACGGUAGCUAAUACCGCAUACCAUCGGAUGAGCCCAGGUGGGAUUAGGUAGUUGGUGGGGUAAAGGCUCACCAAGGCGACGAUCCCUAGCUGGUCUGAGAGGAUGACCAGCCACACUGGAACUGUGACACGGUCCAGACUCCUACGGGAGGCAGCAGUGGGGAAUAUUGCACAAUGGGCGCAACCCUGAUGCAGCCAUGCCGCGUGAAUGAAGAAGGCCUUCGGGUUGUAAAGUACUUUCGGCGGGGAGGCGUUACCCGCAGAAGAAGCACCGGCUAACUCCGUGCCAGCCGCCGCGGUAAUAC